AACGUAGAAGAAACAUUUUCCAUUUUUAAUUUAAGUCUAUUGUACAUUGUAUUAUACAAGUAAGAGUAACACUUUUUUAAUAGUGUUCAUUACACCUAAUAAAAUGAGGUGCCGGGCCCUAACCUAUAAGUCCAUGCUCCCACUCAUACUACCCAUAUAUAUUGAAUUAUUUUAUCAUUCAAUAUAUAUCCAAUUUCCUCAUGUUAUAAGUUUUGGUGGAGAUCAUGCUUCAAAUGAUGUGAAAUUUGAUUAACUAAUUAAUCAACACGGAUUUGAAACUUACUUUGAAAGGUGAAAAACAUGAUCCUCGAGAUUUAUUCAUGGUUAUGAAAUAAAGCAUAAAACAUUAAAAGUUAUCUGCAAUGAAGUUUCAUUUUUUUUUUUUUGUUACAAGCCACGAAGUUUCCUAUGUCACUCAAAUUCAAUCACUGCUUUGGUGACUUUCCCUUCCUCUUUUCAAUAUAGAAGAACACACCUAGGGACACAACCGAGAAAGCACUGAAGACAACGGAGCAGAUAUCAAGUGUCGCGUGGCGGCCACUGAUUGCAUUGAUCUCAAACAAGUUGGUACUCUUACCCGCGUUCGUGGUUUGGCCAUAAGCCACUUCCUUAUCGUUGGAAUCAAAUGCAUAGGCGCGUACAAAGUACGUUGCCUGAGGAACGUCGCGCUGAAUCAACCACUCGAAGGUUUGGACCGUUUUGUUGGAAGCAUUGUAUGGCAUGGCUAACAUUUUGUGUUGGCAAGUUUUGUCCCUAGAGAGUUCAUCCUCUGUCUUUCUCCAAGCGCGGUCUUUUUGGCUUAUGGCCGCGUAGCACAACUUCAGCUUUAUGGUUUUGUAUGAAGAGUCUGUUCCAGCUGGGAAGGUCUUGUUUAGAGCCCAUGUCCCACUGAUUUUGUCUACUCCAGAUAACAGAACUGCAUAGAUAUUUCAUAGCAAAAUUGAGUUUAUAUUUAAGGAGUAUUUAACAUCAUGACUUAUAUAAAAUUAUAAUUAAAUACGCCAAUACAAAAGGUGCAAAAUCUUAUUGUUACAAUUACCUUGUCCAUGCUUAGGGGAAGCUGUGACAUCAAGGGUUCUUUUCAAGGAAGAAAAGAGAUCCUUUCCAUAACAAAGUUCAGAUAAACAGCAUAGAAGAAGUGAUGCUACCACAAGCUUGUGUGCUGCCAUAGUUACUUAUAAAGAAAAGUCAACUUGGUGAAAAGGAGUAGACUUGAGAGAAAAGCCAAAAUUGGAAUGAUAUUAUGAGAAGAAUCUGAAUGGAGAUGCACUCAUUCUAAAGCAUUAUAUAUAAGGCAAAAUCCAAAUAAAAUAGUAUAAAUCUAUAUAAGUCAAAAGGCCCAAAUGCCCAAAAUAUAGUCUAAAAAAUAAUGGACGGAAGAAGCAAGUUGUAGACAGUAUAGCCCUUGAACAUAUAGAAGGGUCAUCCUAUUCAAAUCCAACGCAAGCUUAUUGGACUGAUGGAUAUAGUUUAGUUUAAUUUAUGGAUUAGUACAGGUUAAUUUGGCAACUGUUUAUUUUAAUAUUCCUUUAAUUGUGACACUAAGGUCCGUAUGAUAAUUUUUUGUCGAGAAAGAAAAAUAAAGUUCCCCUAAAAAAAAGAAUAAAAUUAAAACUGUUAUUGUGUUUGUAUUUUCUUCUUCUGCUCAAUAGCUUGAAGUUUUUCUUUUUGAAAUGAAAGGUUCGGGUGAGAUGUUGUAUGUCCCCCAUGUUCUCUACAUGAUUAAGUUCAUUUUUUCAUUCUUCAAAAAAAUAUAUUCAUUUUUUCAUAUAAAGCAUUUUUUUUCAUGUUUAUCAAAGAGAGUCUACAGCAUUAUUUAUGAUAAGUUGAUACUAAAAUAUUAAAAAAAAAAAAAAAAAAAAAAAGGUCUCAUGCUCAUCACAGUUCAAGUAUAAAUGUCAAUAAUUUAAUGGGUUCUAAUUCCUUGAUUCCCAUUUGAUCUUAUAUUGUUAUCUUAGUUUUGUCCUCGUAUGUCCUGGAAAGGACAAGCAAGCAAACUGUGUUCUUAAAGUUUGGCUUUCCGUACUCCAUGUCUCAGAUCAACCUUUUUAUCCAAAAAAAAAAAUUUCUCCGAUCAACCUUUAUGUAAUGAAAAGCCACAUUUUCUCUAUGUAAUUUUGUUAUUAAAUCCGGUUAGGAUGGACUGUUGACUUAAGACCUUGCAGUAUAUUCUUAACAAGAUUUUAAAUUUGAUUCUCUUCAUGUCGAUUUUGAUGGACUAACAUAUGUUCUUAAAAAAAAUUACUUUUGUUAAUGUUUUUUUACAAAUUUAAAAUAACCUACUAUAAAUCAUGUUUUUUAGACAAUAUAACAGUGUUGUGAAUUGCCUUAUUUGCAUGUAUAUUAACAUAAAUAAUGUUGCUUGAGAGUGUUAAUAGAAAGAAAUAAUUUUAUAUUUAUAAAUUAUUUUCAUAGGCUCUCCAAGAUAACUUAUAAAAAUAAUGUAUAAUUUUUUACUUUAUUUUAUCUUUUGUCAUAGAAUGAAUGAAAUGCGUAAAUUAUUGUUGCUAUGUCCAUUGUCGAUGAGGUGUAAGAGGACAAACAUGUAUGAAAUUUUACGCCUCAUGGCGUUAGCUUCGCGUGUCAACACAUCAUGAAAAAUUUAGUCGAUAACGCGGACUUACGUGUAGAGGGCAAUUGGACGAAAUUAUGGCAUCUCAAAGUACCACUAAAAAAAUGAAGGUUUCCCUAUGGAAGGUGGCACGCGGUUACCUACCAACAGGAUACCGCCUUCAAACACAGAGUAUUCAGUGUAAUGAUCAUUGUGUGAUGCGGGAUAGGUUGUAUAAAAAUGAUUGACAUGUUUACUUUGGUUGCGACAAGUUAGAAGUCGUGUGGGAAGUGGCGCGGCUGUGUCAUAUCAUCAAAGAGAAUCUAGUAGUAGCAAAUGGAUUUGCAACUCUCUUCUUUCAACUAUUCGAACAACUUCCUCAUCAACAACUCCUUAUUUUUGUAAUGACUUUGUGAUGCAUAUGGAAAAGAAGAAAUGAGAAGCUUUCGAGUGAUAUAAAUACGAAUCCACGUAUGUUGGUGUACAUGGCACAUGAAUCUUUGAUGAAAUGGCAGCAAGCCCACGAACAUGCAUACAACAAGGAGGAAUGAUAAAGCAAUUCUAACAAAACAAUAAGUCAUAAUCAUGACAACUUGAGCUAAAUGGAGGUAGGAGAGGUCAAGUUCACAUCGAUGCAGCAAUCUUCAAGGAACAAGAGUGUUUAUGGAAUAUGCAUGUGCGUUAGAGGAAGUCUAGGAGAGUUCAUAAAGGCAAAAAUAACUUGGUUCUUUGGAUUACAGCAACCACACGAAGCGGAGGCAAGGGACUUAAAGGAAGCGAUAAAGUGACUUGACAAUAUAGGUCUAUCUAAAGUGUCUAUCGAACUUGAUUGCAAGCAAGUGGUUGACGGUAUAAUUAAGAGACUCAACACCAAUUCCAUGUUUGACGCUAUUAUUGAUAUUUGAACAACUUCACUUAAAACCUAUCAAAACUAGGAGACAAACAAAUAGUGUUGCUCAUUUGUUAACAAGGACGUCAUUAUCUUAUGCUAGUUUCCACAUUCAUGAUCAUAUUCUAUCUUGUACUGAGACUGUAAUUAUUGAUGAAAUGAGUUAAGUUUGCUUUCGUCAAAAAAAUAAUCUUUUAUUAUAGAAUUAAAUUGUAUAUUAUAUACGAUAAAUGUUUAUUUUUUUUUUUUGGCAAAAUAAAUGCUUAUGUUUAAAACGCUUAAUUGAAUUGUUUAUACAAGCACGACAUAUAUAAUUGAGUAAUUUUAUCUCAUAGUCGUUACAAAAAAAUAUUAGAAGUUUAUAUAACAUCACAAAUCUUAAUAAAUUUAAUAAUGUUAUAAUAUUAACAAAAAGAUGUAGGUUUCGUAUCCAACAAAAAAAAAGAUGUAUAUAGAAGAUAGAAGUAUAGAUAUAAUAAGAGAAAAAAAGAACAAGAGAAAACAUAUCAAGCAGGCUUGCCCGAGUGGUCUAAGGGGGUAGACUUAAGACCUACUGCACUGAGUGCGCGUGGGUUCAAACCCCACAGCCUGCAAAAUUCUUUUGCUUAUUUUUUUUUUUUUAAUUAUUUGUAUUUUUGCUCUAGAGCUUUUUUGGUCCUAUUUGACUCAUAAGAAAAAUGCAUCUCUAUGAUUACAAAGUAUAUGUUUGACACCAUUUCAACAUAUUUCGACUGACAAUAAAUAAUAUAUCAAAAUUUGUUCAAUUAGAAAGUUACAUCAUUAUCUCAACUGAACUAAAAUAUGGUUGCUUUCACACCAAUUACUACUACUGUCCCGAUUGCACAGGAUAUGAUAUUUUAGAAUCAAUUAAAUUUUUAUCAUUUUCUCAAGUUAUAAAUAGAUUUUUUAGAGGUAAUAAAUUAUUUUUGUAUACGUAUAAAAUAUAUAAUGACCUUAAAAUCAUUUGGAGUGCACGGCAUAUAUAUAUGUAAUUUGUUCAUAUAGAACUUGCUUUGGCACUUUGCUAUAAGCUUAAUUAAUUAUUUACAAAAAUUUCAUUCUGCAAAUGCUUAAUUUAUCAUCUCAGACAAUUAUUUCCCUACUAAGGAACCUUCAUUGAGCUUCAAAAUUUAGUGUUAGCUAACCCACGUCGAUUCAGUAAUGAAAAAAAAUACUAAUAAAUAUCUUUAGAACACUUGAUAAAAAGUUUAAAAUAAGACUUCCAUUGGCCUAUCCAACACUAAAGCUUAAAUAAAUUAAAGGAUCAAUUUUAUCUUUUUAUUAAAUACAAUCGCAUAGUUAGCAUUAAAAUUUGUCGGUUAUAUAAAUGUGAAUUAUCACGUUAACAGUACAAGUUUGCCACCAGCAAUUAAUAACAAAUAAGGAAUGUGGUUUUGUAAAUAUACAUUGUGACUGGUUGUUUUUUUAGGUUGGUCCCUCUGGUACACCUUGUACCGAGGGGUCUCCAACGUCGUAGCUAAUAUAUUUCAUUUUGAUUUUUUCUAAAAAAAAAAAAACAAAUAAGGAAUGUGAGUUCGCUAAUGAGAUUUCCAAGUCAAACUAAGGAGUACAGAUAAAUAUUUAAGAGGAAAUUGGCAUCCACAAAUAUAUAUUCAUAACAAACAAAUAUAUAUAUAUAUAUAUAUUUUUUUAUACCAAAAUAAGAAAUAACUAUUAUAAAUACCUAUACCUGUUAUGAAAUUAACAUAAACUAUAGCAAGAUAUUGCAAACUAUAGAAGAAUGGAGAUAAGAGAGAAAGGGAAAAUAUAGAAUAGAGAAUAAAAGAGUAUUGCAUUAUGCUCUUCAAAGAUUGUAAUUCUUGCAAUGUCACCUGACUCCUAUUUAUAUGACAUAAAUGAAGUUAAGAGCAAUACCAAUGAGUGAAAACCAUAUAGUCAUAGGACCUAUAGACUAUCCAUGAAAUAUGAAAAACUUAGGGAGCUGCACAUCCACCAAAUAUUCAUAACAUUAUUGAUAAUAUUAUUUAAUUAGGCCUGCAGCAUAUAUAAGGCAUAAUAAAGCAUUCAAAACAAUCUGCCAUGAAGUUUCCUAUGUCACUUAAUUCAAUCACUGCUUUGGUGACUUUCCCUUCCUUUUUUCAAUAUAGAAGAACACACCUAGGGACACAACCGAGAAGGCGCUGAAGACAACGGAGCAGAUAUCAAGAGUCGCGUGGCGGCCACUGAUUGCGUUGAUCUCAAACAAGUUGGUACUCUUACCCGCGUUCGUGGUUUGGCCAUAAGCCACUUCCUUAUCGUUGGAAUCAAAUGCAUAGGCGCGUACAAAGUACGUUGCCUGAGGAACGUCGCGCUGAAUCAACCACUCGAAGGUUUGGACCGUUUUGUUGGAAGCAUUGUAUGGCAUGGCUAACAUUUUGUGUUGGCAAGUUUUGUCCCUAGAGAGUUCAUCCUCGGUCUUUCUCCAAGCACGGUCUUUUUGGCUUAUGGGCGCGUAGCACAAUUUCAGCUUUAUGGUUUUGUAGGAUGAGUCUGUUCCAGCUGGGAAGGUCUUGUUUAGAGCCCAUGUUCCACUGAUUUUGUCAACUCCGGAUAACAGAACUGCAUAGGUAUUUCAUACCAAAAUUGAGUUUAAUCAGCUUGAAGGAGUAUUUAACAUCAUGUAAAAACAAGUAUGCAAUCACAAUAUAGGAUAAGACAUUCAUUUAUUAAGGUUUUUGAUGCGUAUUAACUUUGCAAAAAUUAAGGUUGCAUCAGUCAUAUUCCUUUGUGAUCAUUUGUAUUAUCAAAAAUUGCAACGCGACUGCAGUUUAAAAACCUUAUUAAAUAACACACUGGACUCUAUUAAACUUGGCCAAAUUUUCUUGAAAAAUGUUCAUAGUGGUAUAUGAGAUUAUUCAAAUUCAAGAAAAGAGGAAGGAACAUAAUCACAUACAAAUCAAAAUUAAAUCAAGUAUCUUUUUAAAGAAGAAAAAAAGUGACUUUGUCUUCAAAUUAAUUCAUCAAAAUUAAACAUGAUCUAUGUGAUUCAUCAUAUUCUAUUUUAACUAGCAUAAGUCAAUACAAGGUGCAAAUUCUUCUUGUUACUUACCUUGUCCCUGCUUAGGGGAAGCUGUGACAUCAAUGGUUCUUUUCAAGGAAGAAAAGAGAUCCUUUCCAUAACAAAUUUCAGCUAAACAGCAUAGAAGAAGUGAUGCCACCACAAGCUUGUGUGCUGCCAUAGUUACUUAUAAAGAAAAGUCAACUUGUGA
rnacentral:lncRNA from 1 species